rnacentral:lncRNA from 1 species
AUGAAGAGAUGGUUUGAACAGUGGGCAAAAAGGGAUCUUCAGACAUCAAACAAGGUUUCUAAAUCGACCAAAACAAAAAUUCACAGACUAAGAUAACAUCAUCCAUUAGCUGUCAAAAACAUCUCAUCACUUCUCCUUUUUCUCCGCGGGGACAACCUUCUUCAUCCGGGCUCCCAGCUGGUGCUGGUUCAUCAACUCGACACGGAACUUCUUGCCGCCGUGAGUGAUGGGCAUCUAAUCGCCCUGGCCCCCUGGAUGGCUAUAGCAAGCUCCUCUGUUAGAAUUGAAUCACCAGGCUUGGAGCAAGAGAGGUGUAAACACGGAGAAAAACAAUACAAAGCUCACUAAUAAUAGGUUGAUGGUAUUUCUUAUACACAAACUCAAACUAAUGACUGCUAGAAUUCCACCAUUCUACCGAUGUUACAAGCACCUGAAGACAUUAUUAUUCCAAAUAACACCACCGUAACUGAAGCAACCAACAAACUAAACUCUAGAACAUCAAAGGACAACCAGAUUAAUCCUUCUCUGAAGCUCGCAUGAUAGAAAUGCCAACUUCUAACCUAGUUCAAAGAUACUGUAUAUAAUAGAUUGGCAUCGUUAUGUCUAAUAUGCAAUAAAUUAUGCAACAAAUAGAAUCCAAUAAAUCCAGUAAAUCUAAUUUUCAUGCUUAUAUGUAUAUUAGUUUUUUAGAUUUAAGAGGAGAAAUAUUUCAUGAACAUUUAAAGUCAUCAUGCUUUGAAUUAGACGACACAAGCAUUAGAACUGCAUUUGCUCGAUCCUUGAGUGAGACCUUUCUACUCCCAAGAAAAGAAAAAGAGAAGAAAAGUGUAAUCUGGAUGUGGCAUCAAUAGCAUAGCUAGAAAGUAUAUAUAGAUGCAGUUGUUCGAGACUGACUAACCAUUUUGCAUUGAAGUUUGCAAAUAAAUCAUUUUCAUAUUUGAACAAGGGGACUUGUAAACCUCAGGAACAGACGUUUCUUUAAGAUUUAACAAAUAGCAGCAGAAACUCUGCAUGAAAGAAACAAUU